rnacentral:rRNA from 1 species
AUUGAACGCUGGCGGCAGGCCUAACACAUGCAAGUCGAGCGGAUGAAGGGAGCUUGCUCCUGGCUUCAGCGGCGGACGGGUGAGUAAUGCCUAGGUAUCUGCCUGGUCUUGGGGGAUAACGUCCGUUCACGGGCGCUAAUACCGCAUACGUCCUUAGGUUGAACGUGGUGGUUCUUCGGACCUCACGCUAUCAGCUGACCCUAGGUUGGAUUAGCUAGUUGGUGGGGUAAAGGCCUACCAAGGCGACGAUCCGUAACUGGUCUGAGAGGAUGAUCGGUCACACUGGAACUGAGACACGGUCCAGACUCCUGCGGGAGGCAGCAGUGGGGAAUAUUGGACAAUGGGCGAAAGCCUGAUCCAGCAAUGCCGCGUGAGUGAAGAAGGUCUUCGGAUUGUAAAGCACUGUAAGUUGGGAGGAAGGGAAGUAAGUUAAUGCCUGGAUGUUUUGACGUUACCAACAGAAUAAGCACCGGCUAACUUCGUG